AAACUUUAUACGAAAUCAGGUAUCCGUCGUCAGGGCGGAUUUAAAAGGGAAGUCCGGUGUGAUUCCGGCGCUGUCUCGCAACUGUGAAGGAGAGCCAUAUUUCUGCAAGCCUCUUACCAAGGAGAAUGUGGUGAUGACCCAAGUCAGGGUACUGCCUGGUUUCUAGUGUCUCAG
rnacentral:ncRNA from 19 species